rnacentral:lncRNA from 1 species
GUUAAUGAUACAUAGAACAAUUAUCCUGAUAAUUCUUUGAAUUCAAUGUCUUUAUUCGACAAUAUUGUGCUAUUCUAUAAUGGGACCAGUACAUUAGUUAAUGAUCUUCUUGAAAUAUUGCCAAAUCAAGGUUUGGAACUUCCCAAAGAUGCAAGAAGAAUUUUAAAAACACCUAAUGAAAAGCAACUUAUAGACAGGAGCGUCAACUACAUCAAGUGUCAGUUGAUAUAUAUGUUUUGGUCAAAUACAUGUUUGUAUUUGCUCCUCCAAAAUUUGAAAGUCUGUGAUUGAAAAUUUUGCUUUUCCCAAAA